rnacentral:rRNA from 1 species
UACGUAGGGGGCAAGCGUUGUCCGGAUUUAUUGGGCGUAAAGAGCGUGUAGGCGGCUUGGAAGGUCAGCUGUGAAAACUCGAGGCUCAACCUCGAGACGUCGGUUGAAACCACCUGGCUAGAGUCCGGAAGAGGAGUGUGGAAUUCCCGGUGUAGCGGUGAAAUGCGCAGAUAUCGGGAAGAACACCCGUGGCGAAGGCGGCACUCUGGGACGGUACUGACGCUGAGAUGCGAAAGCGUGGGGAGCGAACAGG